rnacentral:rRNA from 1 species
UACCAGCACCCCGAGUGGUCGGGACGAUUAUUGGGCCUAAAGCAUCCGUAGCCGGCCUUACAAGUCCUCCGUUAAAUCCAGCUGCUUAACAGAUGGGCUGCGGAGGAUACUAUAAGACUAGGAGGCAGGAGAGGCAAGCGGUACUCAGUGGGUAGGGGUAAAAUCCGUUGAUCCAUUGAAGACCACCAGUGGCGAAGGCGGUUUGCCAGAAUGCGCUCGACGGUGAGGGAUGAAAGCUGGGGGAGCAAACCGG